rnacentral:rRNA from 1 species
AUGCCGCCGCCCCGAAGAACGCCUUGGAGGAAUUUCUUGGGCGACCUGCGGAGGUGGAUCGACCUCUUGGGAUUCCGGGGGCUGAUCGACGUCGUCGCCAGGCGUCCAGGCCAGGCCAUCUACAAGGUGAAGGAGGCACCACGGGGGCUCCCGGAGCUGACCGAUGUCGCCCGGCCCCAGGGAGGUUCCGGCCCCGUGAUCCUCAUCACCCGCGCUACGCUGAUUGCCUGUGCGGCGGCGCCGUCGCGUUCCGCCGCUGGCAACCGGCCGCAGCAGCUGCCACCUCCUAAGUGGUCCCUCAAGGAGGAGAGCUACGGCGAUGCCCUCACGGAGAUUUUCGAGGUAUCUGCCAACUUCCCUCUCCGCGGCCAAGUACUGGCCUGGGAUGGCAUUCGUACCCAGAUCAUCUGCCAGAGCAAAAACGUGAAGGAGUUCUAUUCACGAAGAGCAAAAUGGGCAAGAGACAAUCCCGGAGCUAAACUCGUCGAUUUCAAGAUGACGCUGCCUCCCACCGGACCAUCUAGGUACAUGUGUGCCUUAUCUGGCGCUUACUUUGAAGUGAAGAUCGACGCAACCACGAAGAAAGCCGCAGAGGAGCACGCCCGGGUGGUGGACUGGUGCUACACGCCCUUGUCCAACAGAUGCAACACCGUCUCCAUCGAAACCAGCAUGGGCGUCGUGGACAUCCUCUGCGCGAUGAUGAACGAAGCCGUGGAGGUCACGAUGUGUGUCGGUCUGUGCAUACCCACGGACCUAUGCGUGGGUCGACUCUACGGCCGCAUCACCGCACGCACCGACAUAUAUGAACCCGAGAUCACCGUGUUCACCAGAGGCGUUAAGUCGGCUGUAGACCCUCUUCGGCGUGUUGCCCAUCCACUGCCAGGCUUUCUGUCUGCUGACUCAUACCGCCAUGUAACCCUUCCAUUGGCGCGGACUGUCCUCACGGUGCCGAUUCAAGCGUCACGCAUAGAGCUCAAGGGGGAGCUGAUGAUAGAGGGAUCUAACACGCUGAGUGUUAACCAUUCUAUCCAUCUCGAUGCUAAGAAUAUCUGGAGCCCGUGGGUCAAGCACGGAAACUGCUAUGCUAGAGUGGCCCUAACCAUUAGGUUGGAAGUGGAACGCUAG